rnacentral:lncRNA from 1 species
GAGAGGAAUGAGAGAUAGCUGCAGCAGCUAGGGCUGCAGCACCUCUGUUUCGUGUAGGAGGAAACAGAGGAGUUCAUGUGUGGGGCAUCGGGGAGGAGAAGGGAAUAAGAGUAGAAGAAGAGAAGAAGAAGAAGAAGAAGAAGAAGAAGAAGAAAAGAGGAGGUGGUUGUGGCAAGGGCUGCAGCGAGGAGCUAUGGGACGUUGGGGAGGAGAAAGGAAGAAGAGGAGAAGAAGA